UUGAACGCUGGCGGCAUGCCUUACACAUGCAAGUCGAACGGUAACGGGCCUUCGGGUGCCGACGAGUGGCGAACGGGUGAGUAAUACAUCGGAACGUGCCCGAUCGUGGGGGAUAACGAGGCGAAAGCUUUGCUAAUACCGCAUACGAUCUACGGAUGAAAGCAGGGGACCGCAAGGCCUUGCGCGGACGGAGCGGCCGAUGGCAGAUUAGGUAGUUGGUGGGAUAAAAGCUUACCAAGCCGACGAUCUGUAGCUGGUCUGAGAGGAUGAUCAGCCACACUGGGACUGAGACACGGCCCAGACUCCUACGGGAGGCAGCAGUGGGGAAUUUUGGACAAUGGGCGCAAGCCUGAUCCAGCCAUGCCGCGUGCAGGAUGAAGGCCUUCGGGUUGUAAACUGCUUUUGUACGGAACGAAAAGCCUUCUUUUAAUACAGGAGGGUCAUGACGGUACCGUAAGAAUAGGCACCGGCUAACUACGUG
rnacentral:rRNA from 1 species